AUGUUGUAUGUCGUCUUCGGUGUGACCACUAAGGCUUGUGGUUGUGGCAACAGGGAAUCCGGCGUGGAUCCGGAACUGUCGCGCAGCGGUGUGGGGGAACGAAGGCCGCCAGGUGGUUGGUCACCAGGCACUGCCUGCCAGAACCAUGGGCGGGUGGGAAGCCGCGGCCGUAGGUGUUCGCAGUAACGCGCCCCCAAGUCCGAAUACCUGCCGAGGAGGGCCCGUCAUC
rnacentral:ncRNA from 2 species